CAGAGCUGAACCUGUAUAAAAGUCAGAAGCUUCUAACAGCACCUCAGUCUACCUGCAUCCUGGGUGAUCUGCUCCAGUGCCUGAACCAGCUUCAUUCAGUUCCUGUUGAGAUGUCCUGCCAGCAAAGCCAGCAGCAGUGCCAGCCCCCUCCCAAGUGCUCCCCCAAGGGUACUUCUAAGUGUCCUCCCAAGUGUCCCCCAAAAUGCCCCCCUAAGUGCCCAGCCCCCUGCCCACCUCCAGUCUCUCCCUGCUGCAGCAUCGGCUCUGGGGGCGGCGGCUGCUGCAGCUCUGGGGGCGGCGGCUGCUGCCUGAGCCACCACAGGCCCCGCCGAUCUCUUCGACGCCGACACCAGAACUCUGACUGCUGUGGCAGUGGUGGUGGCCAUUCUGGAGGCUCCAGCUGCUGCCACAGCUCUGGGAGCUCCGGCUGCUCUUCUGGGAGCUCUGGAUGUUGCGGCAGCUCUGGGGGCUGCUGCUGAUCUGGGCCGUGGGGAGCACUGAGGAGCAGCCCUGGAGGAGCCACUGGGCCGAGACUCCUCUUCUCCCAUUUGGAAGAACAGAAGAGGACGGAAAGGCUUCCGAAUGCUUUGAGUUUCCCUCUUCCUCCCACCCGUGUCCAUUCCACUGUGAGGUCUAGAGGGUUAGCCUGUGGCAUUCACUAGUCUGAUUCCCUCUCGCACACACAUCUUUGGAGGACUUGGUGUUGGAGUUCAGUUAUGAAGCUGCUUUCUCUGUAACAAUAAAGCUUCUUAUUCCUGA